rnacentral:rRNA from 1 species
UACGGAGGAUGCGAGCGUUAUCCGGAUUUAUUGGGUUUAAAGGGUGCGUAGGCGGGCAUUUAAGCCGGCGGUCAAAUGUCGGGGCUCAACCCCGGCCUGCCGUCGGAACUGGGUGCCUUGAGUGGGCGAGAAGUAUGCGGAAUGCGUGGUGUAGCGGUGAAAUGCAUAGAUAUCACGCAGAACCCCGAUAGCGAAGGCAGCUUACCAGACUGCGACUGACGCUGAAGCACGAGAGCGUGGGUAGCGAACAGG